rnacentral:tRNA from 1 species
CGGCGAUUAGCUCAGUCUGGUAGAGCGCUUGUUUUGGGAACAAGAGGUUUCGCAAGUUCAAAUCCUGCAUCGCCGACCA